rnacentral:rRNA from 1 species
GAUGAACGCUGGCGGCGUGCCUAAUACAUGCAAGUCGAGCGAACAGACGAGGAGCUUGCUCCUCUGACGUUAGCGGCGGACGGGUGAGUAACACGUGGAUAACCUACCUAUAAGACUGGGAUAACUUCGGGAAACCGGAGCUAAUACCGGAUAAUAUAUUGAACCGCAUGGUUCAAUAGUGAAAGACGGUUUUGCUGCCACUUAUAGAUGGAUCCGCGCCGCAUUAGCUAGUUGGUAAGGUAACGGCUUACCAAGGCAACGAUGCGUAGCCGACCUGAGAGGGUGAUCGGCCACACUGGAACUGAGACACGGUCCAGACUCCUACGGGAGGCAGAAGUAGGGAAUCUUCCGCAAUGGGCGAAAGCCUGACGGAGCAACGCCGCGUGAGUGAUGAAGGUCUUCGGAUCGUAAAACUCUGUUAUUAGGGAAGGACAAAUGUGUAAGUAACUAUGCACGUCUUGACGGUACCUAAUCAGAAAGCCACGGCUAACUACGUG